GGCACAGGUUUGAGGUAGAGUAGGUUACCAGCAUCAGCUGACCCCACUAAUCUACUCUACCUCAAGUUUGUGCUC
rnacentral:pre_miRNA from 1 species